rnacentral:rRNA from 2 species
CGUGGGCUCCUGCCUGUAAGACUGGGAUAACUUCGGGAAACCGGAGCUAAUACCGGAUAAUCCUUUCCCUCACAUGAGGGAAAGCUGAAAGACGGUUUCGGCUGUCACUUACAGAUGGGCCCGCGGCGCAUUAGCUAGUUGGUGAGGUAACGGCUCACCAAGGCAACGAUGCGUAGCCGACCUGAGAGGGUGAUCGGCCACACUGGGACUGAGACACGGCCCAGACUCCUACGGGAGGCAGCAGUAGGGAAUCUUCCGCAAUGGACGAAAGUCUGACGGAGCAACGCCGCGUGAACGAUGAAGGCUUUCGGGUCGUAAAGUUCUGUUGUUAGGGAAGAACAAGUACCGGGAGUAACUGCCGGUACCUUGACGGUACCUAACCAGAAAGCCACGGCUAACUACGUGCCAGCAGCCGCGGUAAUACGUAGGUGGCAGCGUUGUCCGGAUUAUUGGGGCGUAAGCGCGCGCAGGCGUUCUUAAGUCUGAUGUGAAACCCCCCG